rnacentral:hammerhead_ribozyme from 1 species
AUCGAGCUGACGAGUCCCAAACAGGACGAAACGCUCGUCCUGGAU